CAGUAGCCGCGGGAAUACGAAGGGUGCAAGCGUUACUCGGAAUUACUGGGCGUAAAGCGUGCGUAGGUGGUGGUUUAAGUCCGUUGUGAAAGCCCUGGGCUCAACCUGGGAAUUGCAGUGGAUACUGGGUCACUAGAGUGUGGUAGAGGAUAGUUGAAUUUCCGGUGUAGCAGUGAAAUGCGUAGAGAUCGGAAGGAACAUCUGUGGCGAAGGCGACUAUCUGGGCCAACACUGACACUGAGGCACGAAAGCGUGGGGAGCAAACAGGAUUAGAUACCCGCGUAGUCCCUGUCUCUUAUAC
rnacentral:rRNA from 1 species